UUAAAUUAUAUAAGUUACCAGUACGNCCGUGUAUGCUAAGCAAUUUGAUAAUAACUGAUCUUUUGUACAAAUAAAUUUUUUUACACAGUCGAAAAAUUGGCGUUUUAGUUAAAAAAAAUUGCGUUGCACGAUGAUCCAGCCGACGGCCGGAUCAUUUACUCAAGCACUUCCCCUUUGGGGAUGCGUUACUCAACUGAACGGCGUGCCUAAAAUUCAAAGGUAGUUUCUAUGAACAUAUUUCUUACAACGAACUUACAAACAACGAAGCCUUCGUGCUUAAGGGUAAGGUUCUUCAUCCCCUAAAGGGGAACCGAAGGGGGACGCAGGGGCCUCCUUUUAUGUCCGUUGUAGUGAACGACCUAGGGUCUUCGACCCUUGUUUGUCUUCCCCGAAGGGGAGAACAUAAGUUUGGGCCUUUGGCUUUGUAGUUUAGUAGUAAAACGGUGUGUACUUAUGUUUGUUAUAUAUAGCCUACGGCUUUGUGUCAAUCGCCUUGCCCUGACGACUACGUUUGGUUAUAGCUUAACGCAGUUAAGCUACCUUUUCAUUCGCGAGAAACCUGGCUGAAGGCCGCGGAUGAUCAAAACAAAAAAAUAAAAAAACCACAUAGUUAAGCUAUUUUUUUUAGCUAGGCCUACUCCAUUUUAGGGCCACGAAGCGCACACGUUACUUACAACGAAGUUGUACGCAACAACCUCCGUUAAGUUGUAGCUUAACGUAGUUAGACUACGCUCCUCAUCGAAAAUGGAGUUUAAUUUAGUUAAACUUUAUUAAACUACAAAGUCACAGCGAGCGCUGUAAGGUUCAUAA
rnacentral:lncRNA from 1 species